GACGGAGGAUGCAAGCGUUAUCCGGAAUUAUUGGGCGUAAAGCGUCCGCAGGUGGACAUACAAGUCUGCUGUCAAAGUGCAGAGCUUAACUCUGUAAAGGCGGUGGAAACUGUAGGUCUUGAGUAUGGUAGGGGUAGAGGGAAUUCCCGGUGUAGCGGUGAAAUGCGUAGAUAUCGGGAAGAACACCAGUGGCGAAAGCGCUCUACUGGGCCAUAACUGACACUGAGGGACGAAAGCCAGGGGAGCAAACGGG
rnacentral:rRNA from 1 species